UAACUGUAUUCUGAAUACCACCUUUUUAAACGGUAACUGUAACAGAAUACAGUUACUCAUAUUUUGUAUUCUGAAUACGUAACGGCGGUACAUGUAUUCCGUUACUCCCCAACACUGUUUAUACAUAAUAACAGGACACGUGUGAUCUGAGCGCUGCUGUGGUUGCUGUGCUGCACGUCUUCAUUUAGAUAACAGAGACAUCUAGUGGUUCAGAGGGAGAACUGCAGGAGGUGGAGCUGUGUUUUAGCAUGAAAAACUUGUUUAUUCUUAUCUUUUAGACGCAAAUACAAAUAUGACAAAUAUCAUUGUGAGAUACAAAAGGUCAAAUCAGUUAGCAGAGGGAACAGUGAUCACACAGCAAUGUAAGAAUAGAAACAUAAUCGUGAAUAUGGACGUGUACACAGAUGGAAGCAAACAAACAGGAUGUAACAAUAAAUUAAAGCCACAAAUGAGAAGAAAACAAACCCAAGGGGAGAUAUAUUUGAUCUCAGGUUUCCAAAUCAGAUGAUUUAAAGUAUCAGAGUUUUUGUGGUUUGCUUUCUUGAAGUCAUUUUUUCUAUAAUUUGAAUUCCUUGAAUAAAACAACAAACUUAGGGGAUGAUUUGGUAAUCCUACUUUUGUGUAUGAAAGAUUUGACUAAACAUAAAACAAUCUUCCCACUCAGUCGUCGUUCUUAUCUUGUGAAAUCAAACCAAAUGUUCUGUUGUCUCUAAAUCAGGGAUUGAUGAAAUCUUUGCUUUCAUCCAUUUAUGAACAUGUUCUCGUUCAUAUUAAAUCGUAGUCUAAGUCAUUCUUUAGAGGGAUAAAUGUCAUUCAUUAUCUUCAAAUGUGUUUCUGUUGUUUUGGGGGAAGUUUGAAGUCCAUUGUUCUGUCUGUUAAUGAAACUUUAUCACGUUUCUGUAGGAUUUGGUUCCUAUUUUGUAUUUGUUUGAAUUAUUAUGUACUUAUGUGGUACAUUUUGGACUCUUUCUGCCAUGAUGCCAGGUCUCUCUUGAAAACAACAUUUUUAAUCUCAAUUAAAUUUUCACCUGGAGAAAUAAAGGAUGAUAAUAAUUUUGUCUUCAGCGGAAUCAUUUCUCUGUAAAACAGCUUCUUCUGAAACUCUUGUUACAUUUCUUGUUUAUUGUUUACUGGUUUUAGAAAAAUGUCAUCGUCUCUGUGUGAACUUAAUCUCUACAUGUGGUGUCAGCUAUGAUACGAGCUCCAGUGUCUAAUAAUGAUGCUUUUAUUAUUGUCUGGUAUAAGGAGCAGCUGGAUAACCCACUGGUCAUGAAAACGGCACCUUACUGUUGGUUUUUAGCAAACACAAUUUCACUUAAAGUUUGGCCCAAAUUACCAUCCAACAUUUCAAGUUUUCCUGACUACAAAUCCAGAGAUUGUGACUCUGAUGGUCAAAGACCAAGAGGGGACAGAAACCUGGAAGUCAUCUGUUUACCUGCAGGUCAGCGUCCUGUUACAUGUCUGUUAUCUUUGUUCCUUCAGCACCAAGAACAGAAACCUUAAUGAGGAGUGUCCCAGCUGAGGCCCGAGUCCCAGCAGCUGAGAGGCUGCUCACAGUUCGCUCACAGUUUAUUGAAAGAGUGUCUGAAGCUGUUUUAAACCAACGUCUGGAUAAACUCCUGCAGCAGCGUGUUAUCAAUGAUCAGGAGAUGGAAUCAGUCAGAUCACAGCAGAUGAAGCACGAGACGUGAUGGACACGAGGAAGUGAAGCCAGCUCACUGCUGAUCGCUGCUCUGUGAGGAGGAUCGAUGCCUUUGCACAGAGCUGAACCUGGAUGAAGACAGACUUGGAAAGAGUCUGUGGAGCUGUGACCAUCAAUCUCAAAGAGCACUGACAGAGUCACUGUGAUCUUCAUGUGACGUGUUUUUAAACUGCACUUUAGUUCUGAAAGUGCCUCUCAUUAAAACAUGGACUCUGAUUAGAUGCUGAGCAGGACAUUGGAUGGACUGAAGCAGAGUCUGGGACCUCAGUAAUUAUUAGUGCACAAACCAGCAAAUAUGUGAAGCUCCAUUAAUGCUGAACCACAUCUACAGGUUGAAGAGCAACAGCUCAGGUUAUCUGGGACCAGCGUCAGUUUCCACCAAUAUAACUGAAGCUGUUUCUACCUGUAAUGCUGGAAUAACCUAUUGAAUCACAUGAUCAGUGUUUACAAUCUGUUUACUGAGGUUUAAACUCUCCUCUGUGCUUCUGCCUGUUUAAAUAAAGUUUUGCUGCUUGCUUUCU